UCUACCGUAUUGACCUGAAGUUAGCCAUUCCUGGCAUCGCUGGACAAUCACACCCAGGGGUUGCUAAAGAUGUACAGAGCCAAAGCAAGACAGGGAAGGUGAAACAACUUGGAUGAACUUCUGGAACAACUGGAUGCCCAGACCACAGAUCUAACUACUUAUAGAAGGUCUUCUGUUCUUCGUGGUCUUCCACUGUACUUGAGAGAGCCAGCUUCAAUUUCAAAGACUAUUAAGGAUACUGAGGCACUGGGGCCACACACAAACGCCAUGAAAAUGGGGAUCCUGGAAGUGACUG